rnacentral:tRNA from 1 species
GGGCCUUUAGCUCAAUGGUCAGAGCAGAGCACUCAUAAUGCUUUGGUUACAGGUUCGAGUCCUGUAAGGCCCACCA